GUGGGGAAUAUUGGACAAUGGGCGAAAGCCUGAUCCAGCCAUGCCGCGUGUGUGAAGAAGGUCUUCGGAUUGUAAAGCACUUUAAGUUGGGAGGAAGGGCAGUAAGUUAAUACCUUGCUGUUUUGACGUUACCGACAGAAUAAGCACCGGCUAACUUCGUGCCAGCAGCCGCGGUAAUACGAAGGGUGCAAGCGUUAAUCGGAAUUACUGGGCGUAAAGCGCGCGCAGGUGGUUUUGUAAGUUGGAGGUGAAAUCCCCGGGCUCAACCUGGGAACUGCCUCCAAAACUGCAUGACUAGAGUACGGUAGAGGGUAGUGGAAUUUCCUGUGUAGCGGUGAAAUGCGUAGAUAUAGGAAGGAACACCAGUGGCGAAGGCGACUACCUGGACUGAUACUGACACUGAGGUGCGAAAGCGUGGGGAGCAAACAGGAUUAGAUACCCUUGUAGUCC
rnacentral:rRNA from 1 species